rnacentral:rRNA from 1 species
GGCUCAGGAUGAACGCUGGCGGCGUGCCUAAUACAUGCAAGUCGAGCGAACGGACAGGAGUGCUUGCACUCCUUGAAGUUAGCGGCGGACGGGUGAGUAACACGUGGGUAACCUACCUAUAAGACUGGGAUAACUUCGGGAAACCGGAGCUAAUACCGGAUAAUAUAUACCUCCGCAUGGAGGAAUAGUCAAAGACGGUUCUGCUGUCACUUAUAGAUGGACCCGCGGUGUAUUAGCUAGUUGGUGAGGUAACGGCUCACCAAGGCAACGAUACAUAGCCGACCUGAGAGGGUGAUCGGCCACACUGGGACUGAGACACGGCCCAGACUCCUACGGGAGGCAGCAGUAGGGAAUCUUCCGCNAUGGACGAAAGUCUGACGGAGCNACGCCGCGUGAGUGAAGAAGGUUUUCGGAU